rnacentral:rRNA from 1 species
UUUAUGGAGAGUUUGAUCCUGGCUCAGGAUGAACGCUGGCGGCGUGCCUAAUACAUGCAAGUCGAGCGAACGGACGAGAAGCUUGCUUCUCUGAUGUUAGCGGCGGACGGGUGAGUAACACGUGGAUAACCUACCUAUAAGACUGGGAUAACUUCGGGA